rnacentral:lncRNA from 1 species
CUGACCUCCAAUCCCUGGGAGAGGGGCUGGAGAUUGAGUUCAAUCACUAAUGGCUGAAGACUGAAUCAAUCACGUCUGUGUAAUGAAGCCACCACUAAACUGCAAAGGGAUAGGGUUUGGAGAACUUUCAGGUUGGUGAACACAUGGAAGCGCUGGGAUGCUGGCGCACCCAGAGAGGGCAUGGAAGCUCCUCUAACUUGCUCUAUGCAUCUUUUCCAUCUGGCUCUUCCUGAAUUGUAUCCUUACACAAUAAACUAACUGGUAAUCUAGACCCGGCUAUUAGAAAAGAGGUUCAAUGUGAAUAUACUGACAAUAACAACAAAAAAAGAGAUUAGAGAAUUAAGAAAGAAAAUUCUAGAGGGCUUAAAGAUCACAUCUGGAAGGAUCUGAAAGGCCUCUUGAAGGAAAUAGAAAAAAAAAUUCUGGCUAAUUCCUCUAAUACUUCUGGACCCUCAUUGGCUAGGAAAUCAUGCUGUGUUCCCAUAUCUAUUUUCUGGUUCCGUGGAAGCUUCUUGAGUACAUGUCUAAUUUGGUUGGGUUCCCCCACUCUCGUACAGCUUCUCAUACAGGAUAGCAAAACUGCGCUCCUAGAUGCGAUUAUAUGUAAAAAUGGACAAAUCUACAUCACAUUUUUAGUAGAUAGUCCAGAACUGGAGUUCAAGAGAGACAGAACACAGAAUGCCAGGUUGAGGGAGAACCGUGUGGACUCCAAGACCAGCACAUUUCAAGACUAAUAGUAGUAAACAGUGCUUACUGAGAGUAUCAUGUCUCAAGUAGUGCGUGGCUUCAAACAGUUAGAAAUUAAAUUAAAUUAAAACAUUUUUUUUUCAACUUUGACAUAUUCAUGGAAUUAAGAUCAGAGGAAUAAGGAAUAAAGUGCUAAAUUUAAAAGCAAACCACUUUAGUUGCACCCAUUUAUAAUGUUGAUUUUCAGGAUGUCAUAAAUAUUACAUUACAAGAUAACAAAUUGUGUGAGCUUUUACGUAAUGCUUUUUUAUGCCCUUGGUGUACUCAUUUCUGGUGCAUAGUUAUUUUCAAUCAAGAUCAAUUUUUGAGUUUCAGAGCAACAGUAAAAUAAUUCCAUUUAGUACUUCCAGUUAAUGUAUAAUUCCACAUAGUACAUCCAAAACUUAACUUAUUGUCUUUACCCCAAAACCAACUCCAUAAAAAACAACUCAGAACUACUUGUUUAAUUGAGUGGAUUGAUUUGAGAUGAUCUAUGGAAUAACAAACUGGAUUAAACCUAUAAAUAUAUCAUCAGAGGCAAUUUUGACAUAACUACAAACUAUGCAUUAUAUCUUUAUGUUUCAUACAUCUGGCAGUAACCUAAGCAAACUAGCCAAGGUAAAGCUGGAAGAUUGUAAAUAAACAAGUAUAUAUAUAUAUAAGAACAUG